AGUCAAGUAAUUAAGUGCAUGUGGUGGAUGCCUUGGCAGUCAGAGGCGAUGAAAGACGUGAUAGCCUGCGAAAAGCUCCGGGGAGGCGGCAAAUAUCCUUUGAUCCGGAGAUGUCUGAAUGGGGGAACCCACCUACUUUAAGGUAGGUAUUGCAACAUGAAUACAUAGUGUUGCAAGGCGAACGAGGGGAAGUGAAACAUCUCAGUACCCUUAGGAAAAGAAAUCAAUUGAGAUUCCCUCAGUAGCGGCGAGCGAACGGGGAUCAGCCCAUUAAGUUAUGUGUGUUUUAGUGGAACGCUCUGGGAAGUGCGAACGUAGAGGGUGAUAUUCCCGUACACGAAAGGGCACACAUAAUGAUGACGAGUAGGGCGAGGCACGUGAAACCUUGUCUGAAUAUGGGGGGACCAUCCUCCAAGGCUAAAUACUCCUGACUGACCGAUAGUGAACCAGUACCGUGAGGGAAAGGCGAAAAGAACCCCUGUGAGGGGAGUGAAAUAGAUCCUGAAACCGCAUGCAUACAAGCAGUGGGAGCACCUUCGUGGUGUGACUGCGUACCUUUUGUAUAAUGGGUCAGCGACUUAUAUUCAGUAGCGAGGUUAACCGUAUAGGGGAGCCGUAGAGAAAUCGAGUCUUAAUAGGGCGUUUAGUUGCUGGGUAUAGACCCGAAACCAGGCGAUCUAUCCAUGAGCAGGUUGAAGGUUGGGUAACACUAACUGGAGGACCGAACCCACUGUCGUUGAAAAGCCAGGGGAUGACUUGUGGAUAGGGGUGAAAGGCUAAUCAAGCCUGGUGAUAGCUGGUUCUCCCCGAAAGCUAUUUAGGUAGCGCCUCGGACGAAUACCAUAGGGGGUAGAGCACUGUUUCGGCUAGGGGGUCAUCCCGACUUACCAAACCGAUGCAAACUCCGAAUACCUAUGAGUACUAUCCGGGAGACAGACUGCGGGUGCUAACGUCCGUAGUCAAGAGGAAAACAAUCCAGACCGCCAGCUAAGGCCCCAAAAUCAUAGUUAAGUGGGAAACGAUGUGGGAAGGCAUAGACAGCUAGGAGGUUGGCUUAGAAGCAGCCACCCUUUAAAGAAAGCGUAAUAGCUCACUAGUCGAGUCGGCCUGCGCGGAAGAUGUAACGGGGCUAAAACUAUGUGCCGAAGCUGCGGAUGUAUACUUUGUAUACGUGGUAGGGGAGCGUUCUGUAAGCCGAUGAAGGUGUGUUGAGAAGCAUGCUGGAGGUAUCAGAAGUGCGAAUGCUGACGUGAGUAACGACAAAACGGGUGAAAAACCCGUUCGCCGAAAGACCAAGGGUUCCAGUCCAACGUUAAUCGGGGCUGGGUGAGUCGACCCCUAAGGCGAGGCCGAAAGGCGUAGUCGAUGGGAAAAUGGUUAAUAUUCCAUUACUUCUGUGUAAUGCGAUGAGAGGACGGAGAAGGCUAAAUCAGCCUGGCGUUGGUUGUCCAGGUGAAAGGAUGUAGGCAUGUAUCUUAGGCAAAUCCGGGGUACUCUAUGCUGAGAUCUGAUAGCAAGCUGUACUUGUACAGCGAAGUGGUUGAUGCCAUGCUUCCAGGAAAAGUCUCUAAGCUUCAGUUACACAGGAAUCGUACCCGAAACCGACACAGGUGGUCAGGUCGAGUAGACCAAGGCGCUUGAGAGAACUCUGCUGAAGGAACUAGGCAAAAUGGUACCGUAACUUCGGGAGAAGGUACGCUGUUGUUGGUGAUGGAACUCGCUUCCUGAGCUGACGACAGCCGCAGAAACCAGGCCGCUGCAACUGUUUAUUAAAAACAUAGCACUCUGCAAACACGAAAGUGGACGUAUAGGGUGUGAUGCCUGCCCGGUGCUGGAAGGUUAAUUGAUGGGGUUAGCGUAAGCGAAGCUCUUGAUCGAAGCCCCAGUAAACGGCGGCCGUAACUAUAACGGUCCUAAGGUAGCGAAAUUCCUUGUCGGGUAAGUUCCGACCUGCACGAAUGGCAUAAUGAUGGCGGCGCUGUCUCCAGCAGAGGCUCAGUGAAAUCGAAAUCGCUGUGAAGAUGCAGUGUACCCGCGGCUAGACGGAAAGACCCCGUGAACCUUUACUGCAGCUUGACACUGAACUUUGACCUUACUUGUGUAGGAUAGGUGGGAGGCUUUGAAGCUGGAACGCUAGUUCCAGUGGAGCCGUCCUUGAAAUACCACCCUGGUAAUGUUGAGGUUCUAACUCUGUCCCGUGAUCCGGGACGAGGACCGUGUCUGGUGGGUAGUUUGACUGGGGCGGUCUCCUCCUAAAGAGUAACGGAGGAGUACGAAGGUGCGCUCAGCGUGGUCGGAAAUCACGCGUAGAGUAUAAAGGCAAAAGCGCGCUUAACUGCGAGACCCACAAGUCGAGCAGGUACGAAAGUAGGUCUUAGUGAUCCGGUGGUUCUGUAUGGAAGGGCCAUCGCUCAACGGAUAAAAGGUACUCUGGGGAUAACAGGCUGAUACCGCCCAAGAGUUCAUAUCGACGGCGGUGUUUGGCACCUCGAUGUCGGCUCAUCUCAUCCUGGGGCUGAAGCAGGUCCCAAGGGUAUGGCUGUUCGCCAUUUAAAGAGGUACGCGAGCUGGGUUUAGAACGUCGUGAGACAGUUCGGUCCCUAUCUACCGUGGGCGCUGGAAAUUUGAGAGGAUCUGCUCCUAGUACGAGAGGACCAGAGUGGACGAACCUCUGGUGUACCGGUUGUGACGCCAGUCGCAUCGCCGGGUAGCUAUGUUCGGAAGGGAUAACCGCUGAAAGCAUCUAAGCGGGAAGCCUACCUCAAGAUAAGAUUUCCCUAGGACUUUAUGUCCUCUAAAGAGCCGUUCGAGACUAGGACGUUGAUAGGUUGGAUGUGGAAGCAUAGUGAUAUGUGAAGCUGACCAAUACUAUUUGCUCGUGAGGCUCGACUAUACUACACCC
rnacentral:rRNA from 1 species